rnacentral:rRNA from 1 species
GACGAACGCUGGCGGCGUGCUUAACACAUGCAAGUCGAACGAUGAAGCCUAGCUUGCUAGGUGGAUUAGUGGCGAACGGGUGAGUAAUACGUGAGUAACCUACCUUUAACUCUGGGAUAAGCCUGGGAAACUGGGUCUAAUACCGGAUACGACCAAUCUCCGCCUGGGGUGUUGGUGGAAAGCGUUAUGAAGUGGUUAUAGAUGGGCUCACGGCCUAUCAGCUUGUUGGUGAGGUAACGGCUCACCAAGGCGACGACGGGUAGCCGGCCUGAGAGGGUGACCGGCCACACUGGGACUGAGACACGGCCCAGACUCCUACGGGAGGCAGCAGUGGGGAAUAUUGCACAAUGGGCGCAAGCCUGAUGCAGCGACGCCGCGUGAGGGAUGACGGCCUUCGGGUUGUAAACCUCUGUUAGCAGGGAAGAAGAGAAAUUGACGGUACCUGCAGAGAAAGCGCCGGCUAACUACGUG